CUGGACCCGCCCCUUUGGUGACAUUAGAUUUGCAGAUUUUUAGCCAAUCCAAUGCUUUCCCAUGGGAAUCAAUGCAUCUCUAUGGGGAAAAUUCAACAUCCCCAUGCAGAGCGUGGAGACGCUGAACGGCACUGCUGCCUACUGUGCAGCACUGCACCAAGAAGCACCUCCAGUGGUGAGCUGAGUGGCCACUUGGAGGUGUCCCUAGAGGCAAUGUAAACACUGGC